AUUAUAAAUAUUAUAUCUAACAUAAUGAGUAUCUAUAAUAUAAUAUAUUAUAGAUACUCAUUAUGCGUGUCUUCUCGUGCGUUAUAACGCACGUAAUUUUAAUCCUCGUGUGGGACAUUAGGGGGGGUCUUAAAAACUCGAUUCUCUUUACUAAACAUCAUCAUACAACAAGUUUUUAUCCUGGGGUGGGUACCCUUUUAAGGCACUUCUUACAUCAAGCAACAAACACAAACACCAAACCUCCUGACCUCCGAACUCGACAACUCAAACUCAACAACUCAAACUCAACAACUCAACUCCUGACCUCCGAACUCAACAACUCAACUCCUCAACUUUCAACUCAACCUACCCAUUCCUUGUUCCUAUUUCCAAAUUUCCUAGUUCCGAUUUCCCUCUCCUCUAAUUCCUAGUUUCAGUUUCGACCCUUCUCUUCUCCCCUCCGUGGUCCCCUUGCCGGAUCGGGGACCACUUCGGCCUCGCUUCGCUCCUUUUCUCUCAAGGUUUCUCAAAAAAGAAAAAGAAAUUACGUAAGUGAGCACAGAAACUUCUACCUUCAUCCGAAGUGGGAGCUCUAAAGGCUGUGCUUGGGGUAUCUUUCGAGAAUUGAUACCCCGGGGAAGUGGUAUUGGUGACACCACUUCCCUAUGCCCAUGUUGACCGACGUUGGCUCCAUACGGAGGGAACGGGGGAUUCUUUUGGUUGGGGAAUGUUUUUUGCUUAACACAUCAAAUCACAAAAAAACAUCCCCCUUAAGAAUCCCCCUCCGGUGGUGAAACAGAGAGAGACUGGCCCUUUAGGGACCAGUCUUUCCUUUAAUAAAUAUAACUCUCUCUAUUAUAAUAGAGAGAGCUAUAUUUAUUAUGUUAAUAAAUAGAUAUCUCUAUAUUAUAAUAUAGAGAUAUCUAUUUAUUAUGUAUUUAUAUAUUAUAAAAAUAUAUAAAUAUUAAAUUUAAAUAUUUAAAAUAAAUAUUAAAAUUAAAAAAAAAUAUUUAUAAAUAUUAUAAAUAUUAUAUCUAACAUAAUGAGUAUCUAUAAUAUAAUAUAUUAUAGAUACUCAUUAUGCGUGUCUUCUCGUGCGUUAUAACGCACGUAAUUUUAAUCCUCGUGUGGGACAUUAGGGGGGGUCUUAAAAACUCGAUUCUCUUUACUAAACAUCAUCAUACAACAAGUUUUUAUCCUGGGGUGGGUACCCUUUUAAGGCACUUCUUACAUCAAGCAACAAACACAAACACCAAACCUCCUGACCUCCGAACUCGACAACUCAAACUCAACAACUCAAACUCAACAACUCAACUCCUGACCUCCGAACUCAACAACUCAACUCCUCAACUUUCAACUCAACCUACCCAUUCCUUGUUCCUAUUUCCAAAUUUCCUAGUUCCGAUUUCCCUCUCCUCUAAUUCCUAGUUUCAGUUUCGACCCUUCUCUUCUCCCCUCCGUGGUCCCCUUGCCGGAUCGGGGACCACUUCGGCCUCGCUUCGCUCCUUUUCUCUCAAGGUUUCUCAAAAAAGAAAAAGAAAUUACGUAAGUGAGCACAGAAACUUCUACCUUCAUCCGAAGUGGGAGCUCUAAAGGCUGUGCUUGGGGUAUCUUUCGAGAAUUGAUACCCCGGGGAAGUGGUAUUGGUGA
rnacentral:lncRNA from 1 species